UACGGGGGGGGCAAGCGUUGUUCGGAAUUACUGGGCGUAAAGGGUUUGUAGGUGGCCGGCUAAGUCAGACGUGAAAUCCCUCAGCUUAACUGGGGAACUGCGUCUGGGACUGGUCGGCUUGAGGGCCGGAGAGGAACGCGGAAUUCCUGGUGUAGCGGUGAAAUGCGUAGAUAUCAGGAGGAACACCGGUGGUGUAGACGGCUCUCUGGACCGUAACUGACGCUGAGGCACGAAAGCGUGGGUAGCAAACAGG
rnacentral:rRNA from 1 species